AGGCUUCGGCCCGUUCCUGGUUUGGGUCCCACGAUUCUGCAUUCUGGCCUUCUGCUGCACCCGCCGCUAGGAUCCUGCUCGUUGCUGCUUCCUGUUUGACGGCCCCGCAUUUUGGUCUCCUCCUGCACCUGCCGCUAGGCCUGCCUGGUUGGAAUCCAACUUUUCACGUGCCAAAAAAAUUAAUGCUCACUGCCGUAGGAUGCCUGCUCCGUAUAAACGCCGGGCUGACCUCCCUCCAAGCGGCACUGGCUGUUACGCACCUGGCGGCUCAUACUCUGCUGAAACCGUUCAAAACGCCGGAAAUAUCUGUUGCAGAAACGCAUUACCCACUCAGGUAUGGUAGGCUGCACAGGAUCUGUAGAUCCAUUUACGUGUUCCACUCCAGAUACAGCAAUAGAAGCCGUGCUUGCGUUACCUCCAUUCUGCAACACGUUUCACCAUUGUUGCCUUCUUCGAUGAUGGCAGAGGGGAACCGUCAGUGCGGACGCUUUGCUCAGGAGUAUAUUGAAGCACUAAAAGGUAUCGCGCGAAAGUAAUUGUGUAGGUUCACCAACCAUACCGUAUUUCCUAACACAAAUGAGAUUUUCCACAGCUUCGUAUACAGGAAGAUCGUAUUAUGGUUCGCCUGAUUACGUGUGCUCCCACUGUGGUGCGGUAUUCUGGUACCAAGAAAGAAUUAAAUCAGCCUCUUCCAGCCUGCAGAACAAAAUAAAUUUCUACCAGUGCUGCAAGCAAGGGUGGCAAGAUAGUUAUACCGCCUUUCCUUCGUAGACCGGAACCUCUUGCAUCCCUUGCUACUUUCGCUGGCGGAUCUCGAGCCAACAGAUUCAUGAAAAAUAUAAGGCAGUACAAUUGCCUUUUUGCGUUCAC